rnacentral:rRNA from 1 species
GCCCCGGUAAACGGCGGCCGUAACUAUAACGGUCCUAAGGUAGCGAAAUUCCUUGUCGGGUAAGUUCCGACCUGCACGAAUGGCGUAAUGAUGGCCAGGCUGUCUCCACCCGAGACUCAGUGAAAUUGAACUCGCUGUGAAGAUGCAGUGUACCCGCGGCAAGACGGAAAGACCCCGUGAACCUUUACUAUAGCUUGACACUGAACAUUGAGCCUUGAUGUGUAGGAUAGGUGGGAGGCUUUGAAGUGUGGACGCCAGUCUGCAUGGAGCCGACCUUGAAAUACCACCCUUUAAUGUUUGAUGUUCUAACGUUGGCCCGUAAUCCGGGUUGCGGACAGUGUCUGGUGGGUAGUUUGACUGGGGCGGUCUCCUCCUAAAGAGUAACGGAGGAGCACGAAGGUUGGCUAAUCCUGGUCGGACAUCAGGAGGUUAGUGCAAUGGCAUAAGCCAGCUUGACUGCGAGCGUGACGGCGCGAGCAGGUGCGAAAGCAGGUCAUAGUGAUCCGGUGGUUCUGAAUGGAAGGGCCAUCGCUCAACGGAUAAAAGGUACUCCGGGGAUAACAGGCUGAUACCGCCCAAGAGUUCAUAUCGACGGCGGUGUUUGGCACCUCGAUGUCGGCUCAUCACAUCCUGGGGCUGAAGUAGGUCCCAAGGGUAUGGCUGUUCGCCAUUUAAAGUGGUACGCGAGCUGGGUUUAGAACGUCGUGAGACAGUUCGGUCCCUAUCUGCCGUGGGCGCUGGAGAACUGAGGGGGGCUGCUCCUAGUACGAGAGGACCGGAGUGGACGCAUCACUGGUGUUCGGGUUGUCAUGCCAAUGGCACUGCCCGGUAGCUAAAUGCGGAAGAGAUAAGUGCUGAAAGCAUCUAAGCACGAAACUUGCCCCGAGAUGAGUUCUCCCUGACUCCUUGAGAGUCCUGAAGGAACGUUGAAGACGACGACGUUGAUAGGCCG